rnacentral:rRNA from 1 species
GAUGAACGCUAGCGGCAGGCCUAACACAUGCAAGUCGAGGGGUAACUAGAGUGAUAGCAAUAUUACUUUGGCUAGACCGGCGCACGGGUGCGUAACACGUAUGCAACCUACCUUAUACUGGGGAAUAACUUCGAGAAAUCGGCGCUAAUACCCCAUAACACUGCGGAGAGGCAUCUCUUUGCAGUUAAAGCUCCGGCGGUAUAAGAUGGGCAUGCGUCCAAUUAGCUAGUUGGUUAGGUAACGGCUCACCAAGGGUACGAUUGGUAGGGGUUCUGAGAGGAUGAUCCCCCACACUGGUACUGAAACACGGACCAGACUCCUACGGGAGGCAGCAGUGAGGAAUAUUGCGCAAUGGACGAAAGUCUGACGCAGCCAUGCCGCGUGCAGGAUGACGGCCCUAUGGGUUGUAAACUGCUUUUGUACGGGAAUAAACCCUUCUACGUGUAGGAGGCUGAAGGUACCGUAAGAAUAAGCACCGGCUAACUCCGUGCCAGCCGCCGCGGUAA